GUGGCGGUCAAACUGCUGUAAUGAUAAGGCCUUAGCGAACGGAUCUAUUAUAUUAUUUUUGAUGUUAACUCGCUUUAUGAUCACAUCGUGUCUUUCGACUAUCUUCCGAAUGAGUUGGAACCAUCUUAGGAUAUACUUAGACUUAUGAUAAGACCUUGAUUCCUUGGCUUGAGCAACUAUCCCAGUAUUGUCAUAAUAAAAGGACA
rnacentral:lncRNA from 1 species